ACCCGGCGGCGGGACAGGCUUGCUGCUUCCUCCUCCUCGGCCUCACCAUUCCAGACCAAAAUUGAAAAAAUGGUUGACCUCACCCAGGUAAUGGAUGAUGAAGUAUUCAUGGCUUUUGCGUCCUAUGCAACAAUUAUUCUUUCAAAAAUGAUGCUUAUGAGUACUGCAACUGCAUUCUAUAGAUUGACAAGAAAGGUUUUUGCCAAUCCAGAAGACUGUGUAGCAUUUGGCAAAGGAGAAAAUGCCAAGAAGUAUCUUCGAACAGAUGACAGAGUAGAACGUGUACGCAGUCAUUGUAAAGCUGUUACUAUUAGCAUAUUUGAACGACAGAGCCAGAAUGGGGCUACAAAUGAAGUGAAACGUAUGCUUUACCGUGUGCAACAAUUGUGAAAGUUAAUACAUACACAUACACAUACAAUACAUCCUUUAAUAGGAACAAUUAACUAAAAACUUGAGAGCCCACCUGAAUGACCUUGAAAAUAUUAUUCCAUUUCUUGGAAUUGGCCUCCUGUAUUCCUUGAGUGGUCCCGACCCCUCUACAGCCAUCCUGCACUUCAGACUAUUUGUCGGAGCACGGAUCUACCACACCAUUGCAUAUUUGACACCCCUUCCCCAGCCAAAUAGAGCUUUGAGUUUUUUUGUUGGAUAUGGAGUUACUCUUUCCAUGGCUUACAGGUUGCUGAAAAGUAAAUUGUACCUGUAAAGAAAAUCAUACAACUCAG
rnacentral:sRNA from 1 species